UCGAGGACGAACGCUGGCGGCGCGCCUAAACACAUUGCAAGUCGAACGAGCGAGAGAGAGCUUGCUUUCUCGAGCGAGUGGCGAACGGGUGAGUAACGCGUGAGGAAUCUGCCUCAAAGGGGGGGACAACAGUUGGAAACGACUGCUAAUACCGCAUAAGCCCACGGUGCCGCAUGGCACAGAGGGAAAAGGAGUAAUCCGCUUUGAGAUGGCCUCGCGUCCGAUUAGCUAGUUGGUGAGGUAACGGCCCACCAAGGCGACGAUCGGUAGCCGACCUGAGAGGGUGACCGGCCACAUUGGGACUGAGACACGGCCCAGACUCCUACGGGAGGCAGCAGUGGGGAAUAUUGCACAAUGGAGGAAACCCUGAUGCAGCGACGCCGCGUGAGCGAAGAAGUAUUUCGGUAUGUAAAGCUCUAUCAGCAGGGAAGAAGAAAUGACGGUACCUGACUAAGAAGCACCGGCUAAAUACGCG
rnacentral:rRNA from 1 species